AGCCAAUCUAGAACCGUAGUUGAUCUAGUCCCUUGAUAACUCGAAAUGCUAUAAAAUCUAUAAAAUGAUUGUUUUGGAAAUGUAUAUGUUCUGCGAUAAACGAAAUAUCAUAAUAAAUAUAUAGCCCCGGUAAAAGAUAGUAAAACCAAAGAGACUAGAAUAACAGGAUGCGUAACGGCCAUACAAAUUUUUGGCAUAUUCUAGUGUCUUUGGUAAAACCAUAUUUUGUUAUUAUGAGAUUCAAAUGUAUUUCAUUUCGGAACAUGAUCGCUUAGUGACGUGCACCACUGUACGUACACACAGAUAUCCGAAACAACUUGCCGGCAAUUUCUGAACUUAGACUGAGGUCUUGGGUUCAAGUGCUAAUUGGGCACGAAAUUGAAUGCAAAACCGAUUUCUGAUCCAACUAUGACCCAAAUAAAGUACAAGUGACAAACUUGCUGGUGACACAUGGUCAGGCCCUCGAAAGUUCGAUAGUGUUACGCUUAUUACUCAAUGGAAGUUACGUUGAUUUCAGCGGAAAUGGUCUGCCAUGGUCAGGAGCGAGAAAGCAGUUAUCGGAAGCUUCCAGCGGAAGGAAGAACAAGACAGUUCGGCUGGGCGUAAGCGUUCCGUGAGCUUCAGUAAUUUUCAUUCCACUUGAGCUGGUUGAGAGUAUCCAAACAGUCGCCGAUUUAAGAUCGGCGGGAGCAAGUUCGUGACAUAUUCAUUAUGGACUUCGUACGACUACGAAUACGAAUACGGAAUCUUCGCUGUGUGGGUGGUGUCAUGAACGUCUGGCCGAUAUGGAGACACUUAUUUAUUUACAAGCGUGCCUACAAAUGAAUGGAGUUCCUGUAACUACACUCAAAACUUCAUGUUAUACUUCAAAUCAAAUCAAUAAAAUAAAAUGUCACAUGUAUAA